GGAGCAGGAAGCAUCGCUGAUUUUUUUCUUUUUUCUUUUUUUAAUGAGCAGUACCGCCGGUUCGGGAGACGGCGGUGAUGCAGCGCACUAUCAACGCCGACCCUAAUCCAACGGGUAGCCAAACAUUGGACCCGGCGGUGAUAGGGUGUGCUGUAGUAGUACCCUCAUCAAGGGCUUUUUUUUUUAGGUUCAGGUAAGAACAUCCACAGAGAGAGCGCAUCAGGUUGCUAUUUUUGUCAUGCACUGCGUGAUCGUCUUAAGGAUUGGUUUGCGAAUUUUGUAUUUGCUGCAUCUGCU
rnacentral:lncRNA from 1 species